GGCCAGCUCUACUCGAGAACAGGUGGCUUUCCGGGCUCAGUCCAGAGAUCGGCUUGGGGACACUGCCCGGGAGCUGCUCUUGAUGGUAUUCCGCCCUCAUUUCUUUUCUGUUUUAAUUGAUUUCUACCCAUGUUCUCUUUCUGAUUAUAUUUGUUCUUCUCUUUGGCUAGACAACAGGCAUUUUUAUGGAGAUGGAUGCCCGGGAUCGUGCUCUCAGGGACUCCGUGGACCAUCGUAUUGAGGAG
rnacentral:lncRNA from 1 species